UGGAAGACAUCAUCAAAAAGGGAGAGUCAAAACUGUCAUAACAGACUCUGAAGCUAUGUGUGCUAGUAUGAAGUGCUUUUAACGUUUGCGAACAGGAGUCUGGACCUUCUUGGUUCUGACCUUGAUUUUCAACAGUGCUGGGAAGGGCUUCUCACAUAGGUGAUUCUUUAUUUUUAACUGUAACAAAGAACUGGAAUGGGGAUGGGCUUAGACCAUUAAAGGGACCAGGGGAUCCUGGCAUGUGCAAGUGGUGAUGGCCGUGGGUUCUCCUGUGGACACUGCUAUAGCCCCCCACUGUGUGGACGACCUCCGUGGAGGGUAGGUCUGUAGCUCAGGGGCGCACUGCUGCGCUUGGUCUGCUUUCUGCUUGUAUCCGAUCGGCUUGUAAGAAGUAAGCAAAAUAUAGAGGGUAGGUGGUAAGGCUUUGAGAAGUACAAAGAUGGUACACUGUCCUUUGAGGGGCGACUGCUUUCAUGACUCUAAGGGGUUUCUCAGCAAGAGCUCCACCUCACUGUGCUCUGCUCAGACCACACAGAGCAGCCUCAGCUCAUAGAGUCUGUGUUAACUGGUAUUGUGGACUCUGGAGCCAAGCUGGCCUUGAACCUGUGACCAUCUUGCCUCAGCUUCUCAUAUAGCUGGCUGGGAUUAUAGUCUUGUGCUACUGGGGCUAGCUGAGCCUCCCACUUUCCAGUUGUGGGACUUGAGCUUCUCUGGCUCACUGGACCUUAGUUGCUUCACCUGUAUAAAUAGGGAAAAUCAAAAACGUGAAUUUGAAGAUUUCAUGAGUAAACAUGUGAUAAGCUUAGGACACAGCUUGGCUCUAAGUAUUAGCAAUCAUCAUCGUGUAAUGGAGUUUUGGGUUUCUUUGUCUUUUGAGACUUAAGCCUAUUCUGUAGUCCAGAGUGGCCUUGCAUUCAGGAUUGUCUUGCCUCCCAGCCAUCCUGCAUCUAGUUACAGAUGUGUGUCAUCAUAUGAGGCAGGGGAUUCCUUUUUGUUUAAUCAGUGAUUUGGGCCCUUUAACAAACAAUACAACUCUUGAAAACAAUAAUUAUAAUUAGGUCCUAGGUUGCAGAAAAAUAACAGAAAUCUCCAAAGUGUGCCAGCUCCUGUCCCAGAAAAAAAAGAGAUGGACUGUGAGCUGAGAGCAAGGCUGGGAAGAAAUAGGCCCAGUGUCCUGGGUGCAAAUGCAGCGUUAACCGGGGGCAUUUCUGUUCAGGAUAAGAAACCAGAGUCCUUAGGAAGGACUAGCAUGGCUCCUGUUUGCUUACCUCAGUUCCCACGAGUGAAAGCAGCAAACAUAGAAGCUCGGAGCUGGGUAGAUAGCUCGACUAGUUAAGUGCCCAGUACACAAGCGUGAGGACCCAAGGUCCGUCCUGAGAACUCCUGUCCAAAAUCUCUGCUGUUAAAAGCUUCUAAUGCUGGAAGAGCAGAGACAGCCACAUCUCUAGGGCUCGCUGUCCCGCCAGCCUUGCCUGCUCGGAGAGUUCCCAGACUGGUGAGAAGAGAGAUCCUGUCUCAAGGAAAAAUAGAUGGCUCACCAAGGCUGGCCUCUGGCCUCUCUGCAUACCCUCUCUCACAUAAGCAACAGCUUUGCUAGGCAUGGAACUGUGCGCUUGUGUCCUAGCACUCAGGCCGAGGUGGGAGGAUGGCUUGAGUCCCACCUGGUCUGUAUCGUAAAGCCUUCUCAAAAAUGACCAACAGAAACCCCACAACAAUUUAAAAUGGAGGUGUGUGGAGACCUUGGUUCCUGCGAAGAUGGACUAGGAGGUGCUUUUCCCUCGUUCUCCUGUUAAGUACAACUAAAAUCUCUGUGUAUUAUUUAUGCAACAAUCUGGGGCAAGACUGAAAGUUUGGGGAGAUGGCAGUCUUCAGUAGGGCCUUAAGACCCAGUGCCCCAGAGUAGUAAAUUCUCUGAAUUUUCUUUUGCCUCAUACAGCUUAGGCGUGUAACUAAAAUAGCCAUGCACUGGAAACAGCAAAGAGGGUGUGCUUGAAUGCUUACACACAGUACACAUAGCCUGUUCUACUGAGGAUACUAGGAAAGGGACAGCUUGGUAUUAAAAAACAUUGAGAGAUCAAACACUCCGUGCAGGCCAUAGAGAAACGUGGUAGACUUGUUUCCACCAUGCCAAUUGGGGCCUGGAAGAGAGCCUGGAUUUACACAUACACAUGCAUAAGACAAAUCCUCUAACCACUUUGCCACCAUAUGCGUGUCAAAAAGCUUGGGAAGGACCUGGCAGCAACACUCUGUCUCAGUGUGCCAUUGGAACCAUGGGGAUGUAACCUCCCAUCCAUCACUGAUGGUUUUCCCUUGACCUCCAUGCUAGAACAGUUUGAGAAUGAACCAGCUGAAACAGGACUUAAAUAGAUCCAGAGCCUUAUAAAACUCCAGUAUGUUCUGAUUUCAAUUGAUGAUCAUAUUCCAAAACAAGGAAACUACCAGACUAGCUGGUAAAUGGUAACUAUAGAUGCCAGGGUGAUGUGACAUGUUGGGAUUGUCUGUCAAAGGUUUUCAAACAGCCAUUGGUAGUGGUGAGCUAGUUCAGUGGGUUAUUGUCAAUGCUCACAAGGGUCAUGGGUUCAACACUGCCACAGGUUGGGUUAACGUAGACCACUAUAGUUGUGACUGUUUCCAACACCCAACCACAAAGUGCAGAUCACCAAGCCAAAGUGUCUUAUUCAUGAGAAUGCCGUCACUUUCCAUAGUGACUGAGGAAAUGGCCACAGCAAGCUCUGGGAUCCUGCUGGAUGCCAGUGAUAACAUAGAGAGCCUCAGUAAGCAGAGGACAGGACCUGAAUGAUGAUGUUAGUAUCAAAACACCAUGGCUGAAAUCUAACAAUUCAGUGUGUGGGGCUCAGCAGCAGAACAGUGGGGACCACGGAAAGGAGGUGUGAGCUGGGUGAUGGAGUAAGAGCUGCCAGGGUGAGCAGAAAACCAAAAAGCUAAGAGAUCCUGGAGCCCGUUUGAAUCCUAACAUUAGAGCUGACGUAUUGAAAGAGGCCAGCCUGCAGAGAAGCCAAAACAUCCUGAGGUCUGCAAAGGACAAAGUAGCUGAGUGGACCCCAUACAAGCCCAAAGAAAUGCACACCAAAGCACUGCAUAGUCAGUUUGGAAAAUGAAAAAUUCUUGAAACUAGGAUUAAGUUUUGGGGGUACAUUGUUUCCAAUCAGAAAUGGCGGAGCCCAGAAGCAAGCGGCACACUUCAGAAGCAAGUGGCACACUUCAUGGAGAACUGGAAAAACCCCCAGAACCAUUAACAAUGAGGGCAAAGUAAGACACAGACAAGUUUUUAAAAAUAUUACCAGCCAUCCUGCUCAAAACAACGAAGAAAAUAAGCAGAAAAGAAAGAAUGAAAGGAGGAAGCUUUGCACAUUAGAAAGAUAAGGUCACCAUGAGAAAAAUUAGGAUAAAUGCACUAGAAUCCCUUCUCAGUCUCCUGGUUCAUACUUGACAAUGUUGCACAAGUUGUAAUCCUAACUGCCAAGGUCCGAAAAUACAGAGCAGGGUUAGAAGAGGAAAGCCAAGAAGAUAAGUGUUCUAUAUUUGAAUGUGUAACACCUCAGUGGGCAACCAAUAAAUACAGAAAGGAUUUUUGCAAAACAAAAAUUAAAAAUAAAAGAAUCUCACUAUUAGAAG
rnacentral:lncRNA from 1 species